GAACGAACGCUGGCGGCGCGCCUAACACAUGCAAGUCGAACGAGAAGGCGUAGCAAUACGCUUGUAGAGUGGCGAACGGGUGAGUAAUACGUGGGUGACCUACCCUCGAGUGGGGAAUAACCCGCCGAAAGGCGGGCUAAUGCCGCGUACGCUUCCGUCCUCACGGGGACGGAAGGAAAGCUGUACCGUGGGUACGGCGCUCAAGGAUGGGCUCACGUCCUAUCAGC
rnacentral:rRNA from 1 species